rnacentral:rRNA from 1 species
GAUUAACGCUAGCGGCAGGCAUAAUACAUGCAAGUUGAACGGCAGCACAGGUAGCAAUACUGGGUGGCGAGUGGCGCACGGGUGCGUAACACGUAUGCAACCUACCCUAUACAGGCGAAUAACCUUUAGAAAUGAGGGCUAAUACGCCGUAGUAUUACAGAUGGGCAUCUAUUUGUAAUUAAAGAUUUAUCGGUAUAGGAUGGGCAUGCGCCCCAUUAGUUAGUUGGUAAGGUAACGGCUUACCAAGACGAUGAUGGGUAGGGGAUCUGAGAGGACUUACCCCCACACUGGUACUGAGACACGGACCAGACUCCUACGGGAGGCAGCAGUAAGGAAUAUUGGGCAAUGGCCGCGAGGCUGACCCAGCCAUGCCGCGUGCAGGAAGACGGCCUUAUGGGUUGUAAACUGCUUUUAUACGGGAAUAAUAGAGUGUACGCGUACAUUUAUGCAAGUAUCGUAUGAAUAAGCAUCGGCUAACUCCGUG